AUUGAACGCUGGCGGCAGGCCUAACACAUGCAAGUCGAGCGGAUGAAGGGAGCUUGCUCCUGGAUUCAGCGGCGGACGGGUGAGUAAUGCCUAGGAAUCUGCCUGGUAGUGGGGGAUAACGUCCGGAAACGGGCGCUAAUACCGCAUACGUCCUGAGGGAGAAAGUGGGGGAUCUUCGGACCUCACGCUAUCAGAUGAGCCUAGGUCGGAUUAGCUAGUUGGUGGGGUAAAGGCCUACCAAGGCGACGAUCCGUAACCGGUCUGAGAGGAUGAUCAGUCACACUGGAAGUGAGACACGGUCCAGACUCCUACGGGAGGCAGCAGUGGGGAAUAUUGGACGAUGGGCGAAAGGCUGAUCCAGCCAUGCCGCGUGUGUGAAGAAGGUCUUCGGAUUGUAAAGCACUUUAAGUUGGGAGGAAGGGCAGUAAGUUAAUACCUUGCUGUUUUGACGUUACCAACAGAAUAAGCACCGGCUAACUUCGUG
rnacentral:rRNA from 1 species